rnacentral:rRNA from 1 species
UACGAAGGGUGCUAGCGUUGCUCGGAAUCACUGGGCGUAAAGGGUGCGUAGGCGGGUCUUUAAGUCAGGGGUGAAAUCCUGGAGCUCAACUCCAGAACUGCCUUUGAUACUGAGGAUCUUGAGUAUGGGAGAGGUGAGUGGAACUGCGAGUGUAGAGGUGAAAUUCGUAGAUAUUCGCAAGAACACCAGUGGCGAAGGCGGCUCACUGGCCCAUUACUGACGCUGAGGCACGAAAGCGUGGGGAGCAAACAGG